rnacentral:rRNA from 1 species
GACGAACGCUGGCGGCGUGCCUAAUACAUGCAAGUCGAACGCACUCUCGUUUAGAUUGAAGGAGCUUGCUCCUGAUUGAUAAACAUUUGAGUGAGUGGCGGACGGGUGAGUAACACGUGGGUAACCUGCCCUAAAGUGGGGGAUAACAUUUGGAAACAGAUGCUAAUACCGCAUAAAACCUAACACCGCAUGGUGUAGGGUUGAAAGAUGGUUUCGGCUAUCACUUUAGGAUGGACCCGCGGUGCAUUAGUUAGUUGGUGAGGUAAAGGCUCGCCAAGACCGUGAUGCAUAGCCGACCUGAGAGGGUAAUCGGCCACACUGGGACUGAGACACGGCCCAGACUCCUACGGGAGGCAGCAGUAGGGAGUCUUCCACAAUGGACGAAAGUCUGAUGGAGCAACGCCGCGUGAGUGAAGAAGGUUUUCGGAUCGUAAAACUCUGUUGUUGGAGAAGGAAAUGUAUCUGAUAGUAACUGAUCAGGUAGUGACGGUAUCC